rnacentral:lncRNA from 1 species
AUGGGACUGGGACCCCAAAACGGGCUGGGACCCCAAAACGGGGCUGGGACCCCAAAACUGGGCUGGGACCCCAAAACGGGGCUGGGACACCAAAAUGGGACUGGGACCCCAAAAUGGGCUGUGAGCCCAAAACUGGGCUGGGACCCCAAAAUGAGCUGGGAGCCCAAAACGGGCUGGGACCCCAAAACGAGCUGGGAGCCCAAAACGGGCUGGGACCACAAAAUGGGACUGGGACCCCAAAACUGGGCUGGGACCCCAAAACUGGGCUGGGACCCCAAAAUGGGCUGGGACCCCAAAACUGGGCUGGGACCCCAAAACGAGCUGGAAGCCCAAAACGGGCUGGGAGCCCAAAAUGGGCUGGGACCCCAAAACCGGGCUGGGCUGGGACCCCAAAACCGGCCCGGGCUGGGACCCCAAAACUGUGCCAGGGGUGGGACCCCCAAAUUGGGUUGGGUUGGACUGGGACACCCAUCCCAAAACCAGGCCGGGAAGGGGGACCCCAAAACUGUGCCAGGGGUGGGACCCCAAAAUCGGCUGGAGGUGGGACCCUGGAACCGGCCAGGGGUGGGACUCCCCACGCCAAAACGGGGCUGGGGAAGGGACCCCAAAACCGGGCUGGGGGUGAGACCCCGAAACCGGCCACGGCUGGGACCCCAAAACCGGCUGGGGUUGGGACUCCCCCCAAACGAGGCCAGGGCUGGGACCCCAAAACCGGCUGUGAGUGGGACCCCUCCUGUGUGCCCUGGGAUGGGCUGGAACACCUGCAGGAGAUUUGGGGGGCUCACCUGGCCCUGCGCCCCACUUGUGGGGCUGGAGGGGACACUGCAGUGGGAUUUUGGGGUGCUGUUUUGGGGGGCUGUUAGUUUGGGGUGCUGUGGGUGGGGUGAUGCAGAUGGGGGAGUACCCACUGUGUUUUGGGGUGCUGCAGGUUUGGGGUGCUGCAGGUUUUGGGGUGCUGCAGGUUUAGGGUGCUGCAGGUUUUGGGGUGCUGCAGGUUUUGGGGCUGCAGGUUUUGGGGUGCUGCAGGUUUUGGGGCUGCAGGUUUUGGGGUGCUGCAGGUUUGGGUGCUGCAGGUUUUGGGGUGCUGCAGGUUUUGGGGCUGCAGGUUUUGGGGCUGCAGGUUUUGGGGUGCUGCAGGUUUAG